UACAGAGGAGCCAAGCGUUGUCCGGAUUGACUGGGCGUAAAGCGCACGCAGGCGGCUGCGCAAGUCGGGUGUGAAAUUCCGGGGCUCAACCCCGGAACUGCGUCCGAUACUGCGUGGCUAGAGGUAGGUAGGGGAGAUCGGAAUUCCUGGUGUAGCGGUGAAAUGCGCAGAUAUCAGGAGGAACACCGGUGGCGAAGGCGGAUCUCUGGGCCUUACCUGACGCUCAGGCGCGAAAGCUAGGGGAGCGAACAGG
rnacentral:rRNA from 1 species